rnacentral:sRNA from 1 species
GAUUAUUUCAUGGGAGGAACUGAUCUCACUUGAUUGUUCACAGUCAGUUACAGAUUGAACUCCUUGUUCUACUACUUUCCCCCCUCCUCACUACUGCACUUGACUAGUCUUAA